CAGCACAUCUUGAAACCCCAGUCUGCUUUGAAAUCUUUGUCUGGGAGAGACCUUAUUGAUAUAGUAUAACUACCUUGUGUCUUGUUGCUGUGUUCAGUCUUGUAAUGGCAUGUAUCCACUUUUCU